rnacentral:rRNA from 1 species
ACUCAAAUGAAUUGACGGGGGCCCGCACAAGCGGUGGAGCAUGUUGUUUAAUACGUCACUAACCGUAGAACCUUACCAGGGCUUGACAUCCGCCGACCGGCCGUGAAAGCGGUCUUUCCCCGCAAGGGGACGGCGAGACAGGUGUUGCAUGGCUGUCGUCAGCUCGUGUCGUGAGAUGUUGGGUUAAGUCCCGCAACGAGCGCAACCCUCACCCCAUGUUGCCAGCGGGUCAAGCCGGGAACUCUUGGGGAACUGCCCGGGUAACCGGGAGGAAGGUGAGGACGACGUCAAGUCAGCAUGGCCCUUACGCCCUGGGCUACAAACAUGCUACAAUGGACGGCAGACAGAGGGACCCGAGGCCGCGAGGCGGAGGCAACCCCAAAAAUCCGUUCCCAGUUCGGAUCGCAGGCUGCAACUCGCCUGCGUGAAGUCGGAAUCGCUAGUAACCGCAGGUCAGAUAAACUGCGGUGAAUACGUUCCCGGGCCUUGCACACACCGCCCGU